rnacentral:rRNA from 1 species
ACUUGGAUAUGGAUUCUUCACGGUAACGUAACUGAAUGUGGAGACGUCGGCUCGAGCCCUGGGAGGAGUUAUCUUUUCUUCUUAACAGCUUAUCACCCUGGAAUUGGUUUAUCCGGAGAUGGGGUCUUAUGGCUGGAAGAGGCCAGCACCUUUGCUGGCUCCGGUGCGCGCGUGACGGCCCGUGAAAAUCCACAGGAAGGAAUAGUUUUCAUGCUAGGUCGUACU